AUAAAACGCUGGCUGUACACCCGCCAUCAAAACCUUGUGCGCAUUGUUUCCUCCCCAAUGUUGCCCUCCCAAUCGAAAAUCAAAACCCACCCCCCCAACAAUGUUUCCCUCCCAAUCGAAUUUCCUUUCAUUCCUGAGAAAUACCUAGAGGCAGAGACGGAAGGAAUGGCCUAAAUGGACAACCACCACCACCACCCUUUCCGAGAACACGAACACCACCACCGCGAUCAUACAAGCUCCGUCAUCGCCUUCUCUUUUAAGUCCGACUGGGACGACAAACCGUUCACCAACGAAGACCUCCAAACCAUUGAAGCUGCUCUUCAAUCUACCUUCAAAAGGCCACUACCCUCCUCUUCUCACAACCACGACGACGACAACGACCACAAUUCUGGCAGUCCAGAUCCCCCAACCGGUGGUGGUGGUGGUGGAAGCCGCCGAAAAUUGCCCAGUUCCAUUCUCGCUUCCCAGGAUCCGAACCCAUUCUCUCUUUCGCCUUGCCGAGCCAAUUUGAGGAUGAGAUAUCUUGUGAUGAAAUUUGCAGGUCAAAUUACAUAUAGCAGGACUGUAGUUGAAAUGGAGGCAGCUGCAAUGGAGCUCCUAAAGACUGUUGAAGCAAAGAAUAGAGAAGUGGGUGAAUGGAGACCUACAUUCAAAAAAGUUCAUGAUUUUCUUAUAGACGAAUGUUCAGACCUUCCUUAUCAAGCAUCGUCGUUGAAAAUACUAAGUAUGUUUUCAACCAGCCUUGACACUCAUCAACGCCAUCCCCCUUUCUGGCAUGUCCUCUCCGACCAGCUCUUGCUAGUGUUCCAUCUCUCACUGACGACCCUCUCUCGCACUCCCUCUCAGGUAUGCUUUCCCUCUCUAUUUUUUCUCUUUUCCUUUCACUCUCUCUGUUUGUCCGUCUCCCAUUAGUUGUUAUAUUUGCAAGUCUCCAAGCAAUUUUCGCCAAAUUUCAAAAACUAGAAGCAAUUUUGGCUGAGAGUUUUAGCUUUUGUUUGUCAUAAAGUAAAACAAGUGUUGAUUAUGUAUUGUGUUGUAGGGUCAAGAUAUUGCCGCAUGUAUGGCUUUGAUAAAAAACUCUAGAAAAAUCUAAGAGAAGCCUUUUUAAAUUUUGGCUGGUGUAAGAAUCCAUAAAGGAAAGGGAGAAAAAAAAAAAAAAAUAGAGAAAGGCGGAUUUAUGAAUCAGAUGUCCAAAAUAUAACAAAAAGAUGCUUUUUCUUGUCCCCUGUUUUUUAUACAGCUGAUCCUUUGUUUUUAUGCUACAUGUCCUUACAAAUAUAUUAGUUGAGGUGAUUUUUCUUCUUGCCGUGAGUAGAGUCUAGUUGCUACAAAAUAUAUUUUGCGUCUAUUUAUUUUCACUGCAGGUCACACCUUGCCAUUGAAUCAGCCAACAAUUAUAAACUGUUUAGCCCAAUUACCAUUCUGAAAAUUACAAGCUUAUCUUUUUUGAGGAAAGAAAUUAAAGAAAGGCUGUAGAUUAUCUUUGUAGGUUGGCAAAUUGUGUCCAAUCCAUUCCAUAUGAGAAUGGUGAGUCCACAUCUCCAUAACAGUAUACAACUCAUAAUGUUUAAAUAAGUUUUUGUAGAUUGAUCAUAAAAUGUCUUAUUAUGCUUUUAAAAUGUGAAGUUUUGGUUAAGCAUAUACAUUGUAGAUAUAUAUACAUAUAUAUAACUUAUCUUUUCUGUUGAAUAGGCUUUAAAAGGUCCAAAAAGACUCCUGCAGUAAAUAAUAAACUCUGGCCUGUCCUUACUUAAGAGUUAACCUUAAGGUCAAAAAGACCAAUACAUUCCUUUUGUUUUUAUUGUUUCAGGAUUAUCAUCGUUUCCAUGUUUUUGUUACUGCAAAUGUUGAGAAAUUUGUCAGCAAUUUUGUCCGAGCUUCAAAAAUUUCAGUUUAAAGUUGUAAGCAAUGUACUGUAUUCUAUUUAUAGUAACAGUAAUUCUAUUUCCUUCAAUGUUUAACCUUGUGCAAGUUAUUUUUAGAUUGAGAAUUACUUGUAUAUUUGUGUAGAGUUUGUUUUGAUUGAUAAUUAAUUAUGUAUUUUUUAGUUGAAUUUAUGCUCAAUCAUGAAUGUUAUUGGCUUAAUAAAAAAAUGUUUUAUUGGUGAAA